GCUGUAAUAUACGUCAUCCUAUAAGUCACCUAUCACGUACAUGCUGUAAUAUACGUCACCUAUCACGUACAUGCUGUAAUAUACGUCAUCCUAUAAGUCACCUAUCACGUACAUGCUGUAAUAUAAGUCACCUAUCACGUACAUGCUGUAAUAUACGUCACCUAUAAGUCACCUAUCACGUACAUGCUGUAAUAUACGUCACCUAUCAUGUACAUGCUGUUAUAUACGUCACCUAUCACGUACAUGCUGUUAUAUACAUCAUCCUAUAAGUCACCUAUCACGUACAUGCUGUAAUAUACGUCACCUAUCACGUACAUGCUGGUAUAUACGUCACCUAUCACGUACAUGCUGUUAUAUACAUCAUCCUAUAAGUCGCCUAUCACGUACAUGCUGUUAUAUACGUCACCUAUCACGUACAUGCUGUUAUAUACGUCACCUAUCACGUACAUGCUGUUAUAUACGUCACCUAUCACGUACAUGCUGUUAUAUACGUCACCUAUCACGUACAUGCUGUUAUAUACGUCACCUAUCACGUACAUGCUGUAAUAUACGUCAUCCUGCUCCUGAAAUCUGCAUCUGCGUUCAUCCCAGCCAUCAGCAACGGAGCGUUGGGGUAAGUGCAUGCCUGACAUCAAUGUGUGUGCAAUUACAGUGAUCAUUUAACGUGGUCAAUUUCACACACAAAUAUAGAACAUGUCAACAGUGUAAUUGUGUAGUGGAAUGUUUUGCCUUGUGUGGUAGGUUUUGACACGCUUAUGUAGGUGUCAUAACUAGCCAUAAAAUAACGCAAUAUGUGUCAUGACAAGGGAUAUGACCAUAUUAAAAAAGGUACCUAUUAAAAUGGUUAUUACUAUGUCAUAACGUGUUAUGACGGUGGAUGUCAAGUGAAGUGUUACCCAUAACGGUAAUCCUAAUGUUUGUAUUGCUUUAAAAUUGGUUAGGGUCCAAAAUCUCUCACGAGCAUGUGGCCUGGAUAAUGAUUAACAUGAUCUCAUUGUAGACGCCAAUGAGUAUAUACUUGAAAUUAAAUUGUAUAAUGUGUGCAUUUCUGUGAUUUUAUAUACAACUUUUUUUGUUUAAACGGAUGCACAAGCAUAAAUGAAGUUGUAAAGGCAUUGAUGCCAUGCUAUUCUUGCACAUUUUGUCUUCUGUUUUAUUGUGGCUGGUAAAAAUGAACUGUGUUGCUCUAUGGGGAAAAUUCUAACUUCCACUUAAGUCUAAUUUCAGUUCUGUACAAUGAGACUAAGUGGAUUUAUGUGGAAGUUAGGAUCCGCCUCUCUAAGAAUGUCUAAAUGAAUGAUUUGUUAAUAAAUAAAUAUUUUAAAUGGAAAUCCUCCAGGCAAGAAUGUCUGAACCUGUGACUAGCUCACUUUCCAUUAGCUCACCAGUGGAAGAGUCCCAGUCAUAUGUUUUGUGUGUGUUGUUGACAUUAAGCUCUGUGUAUCUCUGUGUUUUCAUUCUUUCUAAAUAGCCUUUUCCUGUCGCGUUACUGGACAUGAAUCAGCCAGUUACUCACACACACUACUCUUCCAAACUAUCUACAACUCAGUUCUAUUGUGUGGGUGUUGAUGUAUUGAAAUGGAAGAAUCUCUGACAACAUGCAGACUUACAAAC
ensembl:lncRNA